UACGUAGGGGGCAAGCGUUGUCCGGAUUUAUUGGGCGUAAAGAGCGUGUAGGCGGCCAGGUAGGUCUGCUGUGAAAACUCGAGGCUCAACCUCGAGAUGUCGGCGGAAACCAUCUGGCUAGAGUCCGGAAGAGGAGAGUGGAAUUCCUGGUGUAGCGGUGAAAUGCGCAGAUAUCAGGAAGAACACCGGUGGCGAAGGCGGCCUUCUGGACAGUGACUGACGCUGAGACGCGAAAGCGUGGGGAGCAAACAGG
rnacentral:rRNA from 1 species